rnacentral:rRNA from 1 species
CCUACGGGGGGCUGCAGUGGGGAAUAUUGCACAAUGGGCGCAAGCCUGAUGCAGCCAUGCCGCGUGUGUGAAGAAGGCCUUCGGGUUGUAAAGCACUUUCAGCGGGGAGGAAGGCGGUGAGGUUAAUAACCUCAUCGAUUGACGUUACCCGCAGAAGAAGCACCGGCUAACUCCGUGCCAGCAGCCGCGGUAAUACGGAGGGUGCAAGCGUUAAUCGGAAUUACUGGGCGUAAAGCGCACGCAGGCGGUCUGUCAAGUCGGAUGUGAAAUCCCCGGGCUCAACCUGGGAACUGCAUUCGAAACUGGCAGGCUAGAGUCUUGUAGAGGGGGGUAGAAUUCCAGGGGUAGCGGUGAAAGGCGUAGAGAUCGGGAGGAAUACCGGGGGCGAAGGCGGCCCCUGGACAAAGACUGACGCUCAGGUGCGAAAGCGUGGGGAGCAAACAGGAUUAGAUACCCUUGUAGUC